rnacentral:rRNA from 1 species
CCUACGGGCGGCUGCAGUAGGGAAUCUUCCACAAUGGGCGAAAGCCUGAUGGAGCAACGCCGCGUGGGUGAAGAAGGUCUUCGGAUCGUAAAACCCUGUUGUUAGAGAAGAAAGUGCGUGAGAGUAACUGUUCACGUUUCGACGGUAUCUAACCAGAAAGCCACGGCUAACUACGUGCCAGUAGCCGCGGUAAUACGUAGGUGGCAAGCGUUAUCCGGCUUUAUUGGGCGUAAAGGGAACGCAGGCGGUCUUUUAAGUCUGAUGUGAAAGCCUUCGGCUUAACCGGAGUAGUGCAUUGGAAACUGGGAGACGUGAGUGCAGAAGAGGAGAGUGGAACUGCAUGUGUAGCGGUGAAAUGCGUAGAUAUAUGGAAGAACACCAGUGGCGAAAGCGGCUCUCUGGUCUGUAACUGACGCUGAGGUUCGAAAGCGUGGGUAGCAAACAGGAUUAGAUACCCCAGUAGUC